GGGGCUGUCACGGCUUCGACGUGUUAGUGAACGUAGCUUUAUGCAGGCCGAGAGUGAGUCUCCUCUCGCUAAUCCAAGGCUCAAUCAUCAAUAGAUGCAAACAACAUCUAUCCUUUCGCUCGUAAGGCAGCUCCUGUAGCAGCCUAAAACCCUCUAGGUUUUGAGCAUCUGUAGCUCGACUCCGUUAAGAGUUACGGAUAACCCCUAACGGAUGCGCUCUAGGAUAGUUCUGGCUCAUCCUAGGGCAAAGACCUUAACCAGAGAGCCUCGCACCCGGGUUAAGGGGUGUUCCUCGCUUUGCGGGAUUUGCAGAGCUAAGCCUGUGAAAGAAUAAGGCACUAAUAGCUAGGGCGGACACGGGUUCGACUCCCGUCAGCUCCACUA
rnacentral:tmRNA from 1 species